AUUGAACGCUGGCGGCAGGCCUAACACAUGCAAGUCGAGCGGAGCGGCGGACGGGUGAGUAAUGCCUAGGAAUCUGCCUGGUAGUGGGGGAUAACGUUCGGAAACGGACGCUAAUACCGCAUACUCUCAGAUGAGCCUAGGUCGGAUUAGCUAGUUGGUGGGGUAAGGGCUUACCCAGGCGACGAUCCGUAACUGGUCUGAGAGGAUGAUCAGUCACACUGGAACUGAGACACGGUCCAGACUCCUACGGGAGGCAGCAGUGGGGAAUAUUGGACAAUGGGCGAAAGCCUGAUGCAGCCAUGCCGCGUGUGUGAAGAAGGUCUUCGGAUUGUAAAGCACUUUAAGUUGGGAGGCGUUACCGACAGAAUAAGCACCGGCUAACUCUGUGCCAGCAGCCGCGGUAAUAC
rnacentral:rRNA from 1 species